rnacentral:rRNA from 1 species
CAUGCCCCUUAUGUCUUGGGCUUCACGCAUGCUACAAUGGCCGGUACAGAGGGCUGCAAUACCGCAAGGUGGAGCGAAUCCCAAAAAGCCGGUCUCAGUUCGGAUUGAGGUCUGCAACUCGACCUCAUGAAGUCGGAGUCGCUAGUAAUCGUAGAUCAGCAACGCUACGGUGAAUACGUUCCCGGGCCUUGUACACACCGCCCGUCAAGUCACGAAAGUCGGUAACACCCGAAGCCGGUGGCCCAACCUUUUGGAGGGAGCCGUCUAAGGUGGGACUGGUAAUUGGGACUAAGUCGUAACAAGGUAGCCGUACCGGAAGGUGCGGCUGGAUCACCUCCUUU